AAAAACUCUAUUAAAAAAAAGAUAUAUUUAUUUGACAGAAGUCACAAGUAGGCAGAGAGGCAGAGGGGUGGGGGAAGCAAGCUCCCUGCUGAGCAGAUGCAAGACUCGAUCCCAGGACCCUGAGAUCAUGAUCUGAGCCGAAGGCAGAGGCUUUAACCCACUGAGCCAUCCACGUGCCCCCAAAUUUUCUCUUUUUAUGAGGCCAUCAGUUAUACUGGAUUAGGGCCACCCUGAUGACCUCAUCUUGACUUGAUUACUUCUGUAGAGACCAACAUUUAUAAAUAAAGUUACAUCCUAACGUACUGGGCAUUAGGACUUCUCUUCUUUUUUGGCAGGGUUGGGAGGCACAAUUCAACCCAUAACAGAGCACUUAGUGGUAUAAAAAUUUAAUAUAACAAAAGGGUUAGGUAGGAUUUAAAGAAGGGAAUUAUAUAAAUGAAAUACCUAAAUGAGAAUUGUUGAUUGAAAUUAGCAUAACUCUUUUAAUACUUGGAGAGCUUUAUAAAGAACUUACGAAAUACAGAUUUGAUGGGGGGGGGUCUGGGUGGCUCAGUCAGUUAAGCGUCUGACUCUUGGUUUUCACUCAGGUCAUGAUCUCAUGGGUUGUGGGAUGGAGCCCCAUGUUGGCUUCUUGCUGGGUGUGGAGCCUGCUUGGGGUUCUCUCUCUGACACUUGCCUCCAUCCCCUGUGCUCUCUCUUUUCUAAAGAAAAAAAAAAAAAAAAAAAAGGAAAAUUAAAAAAAAAAACAGAUUUGAGGUAUUACUGUUUUAUGUAAGGGAAUUUUGCUUUCCUUACACAGACAAUAAUAGGUGUAAACACAAGAUAUUGUAGAUACUAACUGCUGAGCUCUGUAUACUUAGAAGUUGAAAAGGUCCAAAAAUGAUUUAAUCAGUUUUCUGAAAAUAUUUUCAUUGAUUAUGGCUCAAUUUCUAACUCAUUUGGCUCAUUUUUACAGGUAUUUUGACUUGUAGAUGUUCUCUGUUAAUUUGCCUGUCUUCUGUGGCUCUACCUGUUUCUGCAGUGGAAUAAAGAAACGUUAGUGUUCCUAUUGACAUACUUGAUCAGGAAAAUAUAUCAUAAGCAAAUCAUUAGUUCCUGAAAGAUAGUGCAGUACUUUGGAAAGUACUGGCCUCAGCUUCCUAAAUUUUAUUAUUAUUUUUUAAUAAACUCUUAUGUAUAAUGUACAUUGUGUCUGUUACACACAUAAAUGUACAUAUCUCAAUAUAGAUACAUACACACAUAUCUAUAAAUCGUCCUCUUAGAUUUGAAGUACCGGCUCUCCGCCUUACUGGCUGUGUGACUCCGGACAAGUCGCUGGACCUGACUGUGCCUUCGUUUCCUUACCUGUAAAUGCGAGUAGCUGGUUGCACAUGACGUAUUCCAGAUCCUUCGCCACCGCCUGCGGGCUCAGACCUGGCCCCGUGGUCCUGCUCCACGUCCUCUCGCUCUCCUGUGCCAAGUGUGUUCAUAGUUCAAGGCCUUGGUUCUCCACCUUCCCUGUGGCAGGUGCUCCUUUCCUAGGUCUCCCCAGGGCUUCUCUGGAUGACUCCCGUCUCUGCCCCAGGGGCCUCCCUAGGACCCCUCUUGUGACCCCUCCACGUAGCAGGUAGCAUCGGCCCUCACCUCCUUGCUCAGUAGCUGUUUCACAGGCUUCGGAAUGGACUUCCUGCCUGCAGUGUUGUUGCUCACACUUGCUGUAAGCUUCGGAUUUUGCUCAGAUAUUUAUUUGGUGUCUACUGCAGUCGCGAGGAGAGAGUAAAUAACAUCUGUUCUCAGAACUCACAGUGUAGUGUGGAGACAGGUCAUCGAGGGGCAACAGAAUUGUGUGUUCUGGAAAACGUGAGCAUGCCCUGGGUGCAUGGAAGCGGAGGCCGCCAGGCCUGCCCCUGCCUGGCUCAGGCGGGUAAGGUUUCCAGGGCCGGGGGUGUGGCCGAGUGGCCCUGGGCCGCAGAGGACACUCUUUCUGCUGGUUGUGAUCGUCCUAUGCCUAUUACCGAUGACACACUGUCAGCAGGGGAGGCCGAUUUCCAUUGGGUGGUCGGGAAGGAGCACUUGUGGGAAGGUGUCCUCAGCGCUGGGACAUCGAGAGUGGAUAUCGGCUCGCAUGGGGAGCAGGGGAUGGGCUGUUAGUGUCGGCUCUGGGUGGUGGGGCAGGUUGAGGACAAAGCAUAGGCUGGGCAGCUGGCACAGGGCAAGAGUGAAGUGAGCCUUGGAAGAAUGGAGGGGCUGUGUCCCUAAUGUCAUUCCGGGAGCGAUGGAAAGCCGUAGAAGGAUGAACCAGGGCAGCGAUGAGAUCUAGUUGAUGUGUUUAAAACCAACUGGACCGUGGGCAGAAGUCCGGGGUGAUGGGAGGUGAGUCAGGUGCCCGUGGACUCCAGCGAGAGAGGUGCCGGGACUCGUGGGUGGUGGUGGAGACAAAGCCGGGGGAGGAAGAGCGCUGUGUUUUGGACCCAGAGUUGGCAGUAUCCGUGAUGGAGUACAUGGGUCUGAGGGCAGGACGAAGGGCGAGUGCUAGGACUGGGGUUCAGGCACCGGGCAAAUGGUAGUGCGAUGCUCUGAGGGGGGAUGCACUGGGAAGAAACCGGUUUCCUGGGGGAAUAGGGUGUGGUGAGUGGGACAGUUCAUGGAAGGCGUCCCUGGGCCCUGGGACUGAGUGAGUUGGGAGGUCAGUGGCGAGGUGAAGGCUGGACAUGGCCGUGGGCAGGUGCUGAGGGCGGAGAUGCCGGUUCAGGAGCCCGGGAAGUAGAGGGGGGAGAGAGUGGACAGGGGUGGAGGGAACCUCUGGCCCAGCGAGUGCAGACACCCAGCAUCGGCUCGGGUGGGGGUCAGCCAUGGGGAGGUGAGCCCCGUGUCACUGGGUGGGGAACCCGUGUCCCUGGGGGCCGGGGAGUGAGGGGACAGCUUGGGGAGAAACGUGGGUUCGGGUGAGAGGAAGCAGAGUCUGUGUGUGCUUCUGGAAUGAUCCGGGAGUAUAGGGGUGAACGGAGUAGGGGGAGACAUGAAGAUGUGGCCCCGUGGAAGGGCAGCUGGUGGUGGCAGGGCCGGCCGGACAGGCCAGGGCAGCUUCGGCUGCAGGUGGCUGCUGUGCCAGGAAAAGUGGCCUUGGUGGCAAGGAACCUCAUCCCCUCGUGGACUUGCUCAGGGCAGCCGGCCCCCGGGCCCAGCAGCUGCGUGGGGCACCCGAGGCCGCACGGUCUGCACAGACAGGUCAUUUGGAAAAUGACAGCACGUCGGUGACAUGUGUUGUGUUUACAUUGGAUGAUGGGAGCGAUGAUUGUACACAAACCGGGACCCCUUUCCGAAGCAUCUCAAUGGCACCGCGUAUUUGGAGACCCUGCACAACGCCCAGGAACCUUCUCCAUGGAAGCCGGGGUGGCUCGUUCAUCAGCCUCUCUCCGGUUUUUCACCGAGCUGUCUUUGGACAGUGGACUGUG